UGCGUAGGUGGCGAGGUAAGUCGGAUGUGAAAGCUCGGAGCUCAACUCCGAAAUGGCAUUGGAAACUACCUUGCUAGAGGGUUGGAGGGGGGACUGGAAUGCUUGGUGUAGCAGUGAAAUGCGUAGAUAUCAAGCGGAACACCGGUGGCGAAGGCGAGUCCCUGGACAACUCCUGACACUGAGGCACGAAAGCUAGGGAGCAAACA
rnacentral:rRNA from 1 species